rnacentral:rRNA from 1 species
AUGUCUUGUCUAAGUCUAACUGAAAGUAGCAGAAAAAAUGUCGAUCAGUCAGAGGAUACAGCUACGCUGUCAAAACAUUUUUUUUCAGGGGGUGAUAAAAUUAGGCCAAAGAUUAUUUACUUCAAAUAUGGCACUAGAAAUCCUAAUCUGCACUUCAAAUAUGGCAAAGGUAUAUCCUACUGCAAUUUUUAUAAAUGGCUGUUAGGAGAUGGUUCCUCCAUUAGUUUUUGGCAUGAUGCGUGGCUUCAGAAAUGCUCCCUUAAAACUACUUUCUGGGAAUUAUUUGAUAUUUGCAAUCAGCCGAACAUUCAGUUGCACAAGUCUCGGAUGGGAUGUCCUUGA